rnacentral:rRNA from 1 species
GACGAACGCUGGCGGCGUGCUUAACACAUGCAAGUCGAACGGAAAGGCCCUUCGGGGUACUCGAGUGGCGAACGGGUGAGUAACACGUGGGUGAUCUGCCCUGCACUUUGGGAUAAGCCUGGGAAACUGGGUCUAAUACCGAAUAGGACCACGCGCUUCAUGGUGUGUGGUGGAAAGCUUUUGCGGUGUGGGAUGGGCCCGCGGCCUAUCAGCUUGUUGGUGGGGUAAUGGCCUACCAAGGCGACGACGGGUAGCCGGCCUGAGAGGGUGACCGGCCACACUGGGACUGAGAUACGGCCCAGACUCCUACGGGAGGCAGCAGUGGGGAAUAUUGCACAAUGGGCGCAAGCCUGAUGCAGCGACGCCGCGUGAGGGAUGACGGCCUUCGGGUCGUAAACCUCUGUUGUUAGGGAAGAACAGUAAUUGACGGUACCUAUAGAAGAAGCACCGGCCAACUACGUGCCAGCAGCCGCGGUAAUACGUAGGGUGCGAGCGUUGUCCGGAAUUACUGGGCGUAAAGAGCUCGUAGGUGGUUUGUCGCGUUGUUCGUGAAAACUCACAGCUUAACUGUGGGCGUGCGGGCGAUACGGGCAGACUAGAGUACUGCAGGGGAGACUGGAAUUCCUGGUGUAGCGGUGGAAUGCGCAGAUGAUUCAGAGGAACACCGGUGGCGAAGGCGGGUCUCUGGGCAGUAACUGACCCUGAGGAGCGAAAGCGUGGGGAGCGAACGGGAUUGGAUACCCUGGUAGUCCACGCCGUAAACGGUGGGUACUAGGUGUGGGUUUCUUUCUUGGGAUCCGUGCCGUAGCUAACGCAUUAAGUACCCCGCCUGGGGAGUACGGCCGCAAGGCUAAAACUCAAAGGAAUUGACGGGGGCCCGCACAAGCGGCGGAGCAUGUGGAUUAAUUCGAUGCAACGCGAAGAACCUUACCUGGGUUUGACAUGCACAGGACGCCGGCAGAGAUGUCGGUUCCCUUGUGGCCUGUGUGCAGGUGGUGCAUGGCUGUCGUCAGCUCGUGUCGUGAGAUGUUGGGUUAAGUCCCGCAACGAGCGCAACCCUUGUCCUAUGUUGCCAGCGGGUUAUGCCGGGGACUCGUAGGAGACUGCCGGGGUCAACUCGGAGGAAGGUGGGGAUGACGUCAAGUCAUCAUGCCCCUUAUGUCCAGGGCUUCACACAUGCUACAAUGGCCGGUACAAAGGGCUGCGAUGCCGUGAGGUGGAGCGAACCUUUUCAAAGCCGGUCUCAGUCGGAUCGGGGUCUCAACUCGACCCGUGAAGUCGGAGUCGCUAGUAAUCGCAGAUCAGCAACGCUGCGGUGAAUACGUUCCCGGGCCUUGUA